GAUGAAGGAAUUUGUGUUCAUAGUUACAUAUGAACACAAAUUCCUUCAUCUC
rnacentral:pre_miRNA from 1 species